rnacentral:rRNA from 1 species
UAGGGAAUCUUCCACAAUGGACGCAAGUCUGAUGGAGCAACGCCGCGUGAGUGAAGAAGGUCUUCGGAUCGUAAAACUCUGUUGUUAGAGAAGAACACGAGUGAGAGUAACUGUUCAUUCGAUGACGGUAUCUAACCAGCAAGUCACGGCUAACUACGUGCCAGCAGCCGCGGUAAUACGUAGGUCCCGAGCGUUGUCCGGAUUUAUUGGGCGUAAAGCGAGCGCAGGCGGUUCGAUAAGUCUGAAGUUAAAGGCUGUGGCUCAACCAUAGUUCGCUUUGGAAACUGUCAAACUUGAGUGCAGAAGGGGAGAGUGGAAUUCCAUGUGUAGCGGUGAAAUGCGUAGAUAUAUGGAGGAACACCGGUGGCGAAAGCGGCUCUCUGGUCUGUAACUGACGCUGAGGCUCGAAAGCGUGGGGAGCGAACAGGAUUAGAUACCCUGGUAGUCCACGCCGUAAACGAUGAGUGCUAGGUGUUGGAUCCUUUCCGGGAUUCAGUGCCGUAGCUAACGCAUUAAGCACUCCGCCUGGGGAGUACGACCGCAAGGUUG